rnacentral:rRNA from 1 species
AUCCGCCUGCGGGAGUACGUACGCAAGUAUGAAACUCAAAGGAAUUGACGGGGACCCGCACAAGCGGUGGAGCAUGUGGUUUAAUUCGACGCAACGCGAAGAACCUUACCAGGGCUUGACAUCCCAAUGACUUAGCAGAGAUGCUUUGGUGCCUUUCGGGGGAACUUGGAGACAGGUGGUGCAUGGUUGUCGUCAGCUCGUGUCGUGAGAUGUUGGGUUAAGUCCCGCAACGAGCGCAACCCUUAUCGUUAGUUACCAUCAUUUAGUUGGGGACUCAUGCGAGACUGCCUGCGACGAGCAGGAGGAAGGUGGGGAUGACGUCAAGUCAUCAUGCCCCUUAUGCCCUGGGCUACACACGUGCUACAAUGGCCAGUACAGAGAGUCGCGAUCCCGCGAGGGGGAGCCAAUCUCAUAAAGCCGGUCUUAGUUCGGAUCGCAGUCUGCAACUCGACUGCGUGAAGUUGGAAUCGCUAGUAAUCGCGAAUCAGCAAUGUCGCGGUGAAUACGUUCCCGGGUCUUGUACACACCGCCCGUCACACCACGAGAGUUGGUUGCACCUGAAGUAGCAGGCCUAACCCUUCGGGGAGGGAUGUUCCUAAGGUGUGAUUAGCGAUUGGGGUGAAGUCGUAACAAGGUAGCCGUA